UACAGAGGUCUCAAGCGUUGUUCGGAUUCAUUGGGCGUAAAGGGUGCGUAGGCGGCGCGGUAAGUCGGGUGUGAAAUCUCGGAGCUUAACUCCGAAACUGCAUUCGAUACUGCCGUGCUUGAGGACUGGAGAGGAGACUGGAAUUUACGGUGUAGCGGUGAAAUGCGUAGAGAUCGGAAGGAACACCAGUGGCGAAGGCGGCUACCUGGCCAGAUACUGACACUGAGGCACGAAAGCGUGGGGAGCAAACAGG
rnacentral:rRNA from 1 species